AGUCCCGACCUCUCGUAUCUCUCGCUCGCCUCCCUCGUCCGCGGUCCGCCGCCGCUCCAGAUCCAGCCGUGGGAGCGGGGACGGGGCAGGGCUUGAGCACGCUCUCUGCAGCUUCAGGCUCUGCUCGUCGGGGUGGAAGGAGAACUCGAGUGCUCCCAGGCUCUCAACCUCCACGCUCUGAACCGCUGGUACCCGAGAUGACAUGUCCUUGGGCUUGGGCUUGAGCUGGGCGCAGAACGAGCCCGUCGUCGGAAGGGACGAUGUGGACAACCUCGUCCCUGGCUCCAUGUUGAGGCCAUAGAGCUUGAACCCCGAGGCGGAGCCCUUCUGCCAGAGCGCGGCCCCGCGGUUGAACUGCUCGACGAAUGCGCCGAAUUGCUCCCUCCCGGAAUUGGAGCGGACGACGGAGUGAGAGAACUUCUUGUUCCUGUUGUAUGGUUUAUGAUGUGCGUGAGUGAUAAAAUCUAUGUAUUUGAUUCUUCUGAGUGUCUCUGUGUUAAUAACAAGUUGUCUUGUUCCUGUUGUUUUACUGAGCUCAA
rnacentral:lncRNA from 1 species